AUCUCUGUGGCACAACUGCUUAGUGCAUUUGGCUGUUAACUGAAAGGUUGGUGGCUCAAGCUCACCCAGGGAUG
rfam:Alligator mississippiensis ScZkoYb_24, whole genome shotgun sequence.